rnacentral:rRNA from 1 species
UACGUAGGGGGCAAGCGUUAUCCGGAUUUACUGGGUGUAAAGGGAGCGUAGACGGUGAUGCAAGUCAGAAGUGAAAGCCCGGGGCUCAACUCCGGGACUGCAUUGGAAACUGUCGCGCUCGAGUGUCGGAGAGGUAAGUGGAAUUCCUAGUGUAGCGGUGAAAUGCGUAGAUAUUAGGAGGAACACCAGUGGCGAAGGCGGCCUGCUGGACUGCAACUGACGUUGAGGCUCGAAGGCGUGGGGAGCAAACAGG